GCAUAUGGCCAUGUCACCCUGAACAAGCCCGAUCCUGACUGAUCUCGGAAGCUAAGCAGGGUCAGGCCUCAUUAAUACUUGGAUGGGAGACCACCUAGGAAGACUAGGUGCUGCAGGUG
rnacentral:rRNA from 1 species